rnacentral:rRNA from 1 species
AUGUGGUUUAAUUCGACGCAACGCGAAGAACCUUACCAGGGCUUGACAUCCUCUGACGGCGCAAGAGAUUGCGCUUUCCCUUCGGGGACAGAGAGACAGGUGGUGCAUGGUUGUCGUCAGCUCGUGUCGUGAGAUGUUGGGUUAAGUCCCGCAACGAGCGCAACCCCUAUUGCCAGUUGCCAGCAUGAAAGAUGGGCACUCUGGCGAGACUGCCGUUGACAAAACGGAGGAAGGUGGGACGACGUCAAAUCAUCAUGCCCCUUAUGUCCUGGGCUACACACGUACUACAAUGGCAACAACAGAGGGCGGCGAGGCCGCGAGGCCAAGCGAAUCCCAAAAUGUUGUCUCAGUUCAGAUUGCAGGCUGCAACUCGCCUGCAUGAAGUCGGAAUUGCUAGUAAUGGCAGGUCAGCAUACUGCCGUGAAUACGUUCCCGGGCCUU